UCCGGUUUAACACCGGCAGUCUCCAUAGAGUGCCCAACUAAAUGAUGGCAACUAGGGAUAAGGGUUGCGCUCGUUAAGGGACUUAACCCGACAUCUCACGAUACGAGCUGACGACAGCCAUGCAGCACCUAAACCACCGGUCUCUUGCGAGAAGGCUGUAUCUCUACAGCUGUCCGAUGUUGUCUAACCCAGGUAAGGUUUUUCGCGUUGCAUCGAAUUAAACCACAUGCUCCACCGCUUGUGCGGGCCCCCGUCAAUUCCUUUGAGUUUUAACCUUGCGGCCGUACUUCCCAGGCGGGGUACUUAAUGCGUUAGCGUCGGCACUGCAGGGGUCAAUUCCCGCAACACCUAGUACCCAUCGUUUACAGCGUGGACUAC
rnacentral:misc_RNA from 1 species